UCUAUUACUCUGCUUUUUCAAAAAAAAUUACAUGCUUUACCACGGUUUUCCUAUUAUUGGGUAACUUUCUUGAACUUUCACAAGAAAUGUAAUUAGAAUUUUAGAGCAAGUGUUAUAAUAUCUAAAUUAUAAUACCCAUAAAUGUAAUUAUUGAUUACCUCUAUUGAGUCCAAUUUUAAUUUCAUUUUUAGUUAUAUGUGAUUGCAUCUGGUAUACACAAGAGAAAAGAAACCAAAGGAGAAUUUGAAUGGCAGCUGUAUAAUUGAAAGUCAAGUGUCUGCAUAUUCUUUCAACUAUAUUUGAACAUACCUACCCAGGGUAUAAAGUGUGAUUGAACUGAACAUCAAUUUGGUUGAUCCUCAUCAUGAAUCGUGCUUUUAGCAGAAAGAAAGACAAAACAUGGAUGCAUACUCCCGAAGCUUUAUCAAAACAUUACAUUCCCUAUAAUGCAAAGGUAAAAUAGUUCUAUGGUAUUAUUGAAUCUUAUUUUGCUAUAGUAUUAUUGCUAGUUUAUGAUUGAUCUUAGAAAGAUUGUUUAUGCUUUG
rnacentral:lncRNA from 1 species